GAUCAUGGCUCAGGAUGAACGCUGGCGGCGUGCUUAACACAUGCAAGUCGAACGAAGCACUUUAUUUGAUUUCCUUCGGGACUGAUUAUUUUGUUGACUGAGUGGCGGACGGGUGAGUAACGCGUGGGUAACCUGCCUUGUACAGGGGGAUAACAGUUGGAAACGGCUGCUAAUACCGCAUAAGCGCACAGUAUCGCAUGAUGCAGUGUGAAAAACUCCGGUGGUAUAAGAUGGACCCGCG
rnacentral:rRNA from 1 species